CCCUUAGAUGUUCUGGGCUGCACGCGCGCUACACUGAAGCUAUCAACACGUUUUCCCUCCCUGAGAAGGGCGGGUAACCUUUUGAAUCAGCUUCGUGGUAGGGAUCGGGGCUUGCAAUUGUUCCCCGUGAACCAGGAAUUCCUAGUAGACGCGAGUCAUAAGCUCGCAUCGAUUAAGUCCCUGCCCUUUGUACACACCGCCCGUCGCUACUACCGAUUGAACGUUUUAGUGAGGCAUUUGGACCGACGCAUCUCAGUUUAACUGCUGGUUUGUGUUGGAAAGACUUCCAAACUUGAGCGUUUAGAGGAAGUAAAAGUCGUAACA
rnacentral:rRNA from 1 species